rnacentral:rRNA from 1 species
UACAGAGGGGGCAAGCGUUAUUCGGAAUUAUUGGGCGUAAAGGGCGCGUAGGCGGCUUUGCAAGUGGCGGGUGAAAAUCCCUCGGCUUAACCGAGGAACUGCCUGCCAGACUGCAAGGCUCGAGACCGGGAGAGGUGAGUGGAAUUCCCAGUGUAGCGGUGAAAUGCGUAGAUAUUGGGAGGAACACCAGUGGCGAAGGCGGCUCACUGGACCGGAACUGACGCUGAGGCGCGAAAGCGUGGGGAGCAAACAGG